GCCCUCAUUUUCUUCCGAAAUUAUUCUUCUAUCACAUGCAUAUUUUGAUUUGUGGAUUAACAGAACCCUUACGCAGUUUCAGUUGCAUUCGUGUCAGAAUAUUCAAAUUUCCCGGCGAAAGCAACGUAUCAUUCGGAAACUUCCGGGUUGAUGCGUUUACUACAACGAUAAAUCCUUAUAAACAGACGAGUGCUGUCCCCUAACUUCAUACCUACGCCACACCAAGAUAUCCUUCAUAUAAAUUAAAUAUCAAACAAAAAAGUCUUUGAACAGUUAGUGCAUGUAUUGUUUCA
rnacentral:lncRNA from 1 species